rnacentral:rRNA from 1 species
UACGAAGGGAGCUAGCGUUGUUCGGAAUCAUGUACGUGGGCGUAAAGCGGCAUACGUAGGCGGAUGAUGUCCAGGUCAACGGGGUCGAAACUCCCGGAGACUCGAACUUCGGAACUGCCUCGUGAUAACAGCACGGUCUUGGAGUCCGAUAGAGGUGGGUGGAAAUUCCUAGUGUAGAGGUGAAAUCGUAGAUACUUAGGAAGAA